rnacentral:sRNA from 1 species
UAGGGAUCGCAGCGGCAUCCUUUUUGCGCAGCCCCAAAGGCCAAGUGCCUUUGUCCCUGAAAAAACAGCUCCCGAACGGCGGGGACCACAAAAAAAAACUGGAACGCUGCGCAGAAAGAUAUAGCGGAGAGCCCGACCCCGA